UUACGGCCAUAUCACGUUGAACACCGGUUCUCAUACGAUCACCAAGGUUAAGCAAUAUCGGGCCUGAUCAGUAACUAGAUGGGUCACCGAAUGGGAAUAAUAGAUGCUGUAAG